rfam:Dipodomys ordii contig_84000, whole genome shotgun sequence.
GGUGGCUCAAUGGUAGAGUGUUUGCCUUGCAUGCAUGAGGCUCUGGGUUCGAUUCCUCAGCACCA